CAGCAGCCGCGGGAAUACGGAGGGUGCAAGCGUUAAUCGGAAUUACUGGGCGUAAAGCGUGCGUAGGCGGUUCGUUAAGUCUGUUGUGAAAGCCCCGGGCUCAACCUGGGAAUGGCAAUGGAUACUGGCGAGCUAGAGUGUGUCAGAGGAUGGUGGAAUUCCCGGUGUAGCGGUGAAAUGCGUAGAGAUCGGGAGGAACAUCAGUGGCGAAGGCGGCCAUCUGGGACAACACUGACGCUGAGGCACGAAAGCGUGGGGAGCAAACAGGAUUAGAUACCCCUGUAGUCCCUGUCUCUUAUAA
rnacentral:rRNA from 1 species